UCCCCAAGCCAGUGAGGAUGCCCUUUAUAAUCGAUUCCGAUAAAAAGGAGCAGGUAUCAAGUUCGCACAAAAGUAGCUCAUAACACCUUGUAAAACCACACCCCCACGGGUAACAGCAGUGAUAAAAAUUAAGCUAUGAACGAAAGUUCGACUUAGUCAUGCAAUACAGUUAGGGUUGGUAAAUCUCGUGCCAGCCGCCGCGUCAUACGAUUAACCCGAAUUAAUAAACAAUCGGCGUAAAGAAUGUUUAAGAUUAUAACAAAACUAAGAUUAAAUCUUGUCUAUGUCGUAAAAAAUUAUAGAUAAGACGAAACUCAAUAAACGCAGGUAAUCCUAUAAUAUCUGAACACAUGACAGCUUGGAUACAAACUGGGAUUAGAUACCCCACUAUGCCAAGCCGUAAACACAAAAUAUUAAAUAGAACGGAAAAGUUUCGCCAGAGAACUACUAGCCACGGCUAAAAACUCAAAGGACUUGGCGGUGCUUCACACCCACCUAGAGGAGCCUGUUCUGUAAUCGAUAAACCCCGAUAAACCUCACCACUUUUUGCUAAUACAGCCUAUAUACCGCCAUCUUCAGCAAACCUUAACAAAGUAAAAAAGUGAGCACAAUCACAAACAUAAAGACGUUAGGUCAAGGUGUAGCCAAUAAAGUGGAAAGUAAUGGGCUACAUUUUCUUGACGAAGAACAUUUAAACGAAAGCUAUUAUGAAAUUCAAUAGCACAAGGAGGAUUUAGUAGUAAAUUAAGAAUAGAGAGCUUAAUU
rnacentral:rRNA from 1 species